GACGAACGCUGGCGGCGUGCCUAAUACAUGCAAGUUGAGCGAUGAAGAUUGGUGCUUGCACCAAUUUGAAGAGCAGCGAACGGGUGAGUAACGCGUGGGGAAUCUGCCUUUGAGCGGGGGACAACAUUUGGAAACGAAUGCUAAUACCGCAUAAUAACUUUAAACAUAAGUUUUAAGUUUGAAAGAUGCAAUUGCAUCACUCAAAGAUGAUCCCGCGUUGUAUUAGCUAGUUGGUGAGGUAAAGGCUCACCAAGGCGAUGAUACAUAGCCGACCUGAGAGGGUGAUCGGCCACAUUGGGACUGAGACUCGGCCCAAACUCCUACGGGAGGCAGCAGUAGGGAAUCUUCGGCAAUGGACGAAAGUCUGACCGAGCAACGCCGCGUGAGUGAAGAAGGUUUUCGGAUCGUAAAACUCUGUUGGUAGAGAAGAACGUUGGUGAGAGUGGAAAGCUCAUCAAGUGACGGUAACUACCCAGAAAGGGGCGGCUAACUACGUG
rnacentral:rRNA from 1 species